rnacentral:rRNA from 1 species
AGUGAACGCUGGCGGUAGGCCUAACACAUGCCAGUCGAACGGCAGCACAGUAAGAACUUGCUCUUACGGGUGGCGAGUGGCGGACGGGUGAGGAAUACAUCGGAAUUUUCUUUUUUGUGGGGGAUAACGUAGGGAAACUUACGCUAAUACCGCAUACGACCUACGGGUGAAAGCAGGGGAUCUUCGGACCUUGCGCGAUUGAAUGAGCCGAUGUCGGAUUAGCUAGUUGGCGGGGUAAAGGCCCACCAAGGCGACGAUCCGUAGCUGGUCUGAGAGGAUGAUCAGCCACACUGGAACUGAGACACGGUCCAGACUCCUACGGGAGGCAGCAGUGGGGAAUAUUGGACAAUGGGCGCAAGCCUGAUCCAGCCAUACCGCGUGGGUGAAGAAGGCCUUCGGGUUGUAAAGCCCUUUUGUUGGGAAAGAAAAGCAGCAGGUUAAUACCCCGCUGUUCUGACGGUACCCAAAGAAUAAGCACCGGCUAACUUCGUG